GACGGACGCUGGCGGCGUGCUUAACACAUGCAAGUCGAGCGGUAAGGCCCUUUCGGGGUACACGAGCGGCGAACGGGUGAGUAACACGUGGGUGACCUGCCCUCAGCUCUGGGAUAAGCCUGGGAAACCGGGUCUAAUACCGGAUAUGACUCCAUGACGCAUGUUGUGGGGUGGAAAGCCUUGUGCGGCUGAGGAUGGGCCCGCGGCCUAUCAGCUUGUUGGUGGGGUGAUGGCCUACCAAGGCGACGACGGGUAGCCGGCCUGAGAGGGCGACCGGCCACACUGGGACUGAGACACGGCCCAGACUCCUACGGGAGGCAGCAGUGGGGAAUCUUGCGCAAUGGGCGAAAGCCUGACGCAGCGACGCCGCGUGAGGGAUGACGGCCU
rnacentral:rRNA from 1 species